rnacentral:rRNA from 1 species
UAUUGCACAAUGGGGGGAACCCUGAUGCAGCGACGCCGCGUGAGGGAAGAAGGUUUUUGGCUUGUAACCCUCUGUCCUUGGUAAAGAAGCAAGACGGUAGCCAAGGCGGAAGCCUCGGCUAACUACGUGCCAGCAGCCGCGGUAAUACGUAGGUGGCAAGCGUUGUCCGGAAUUACUGGGUGUAAAGGGAGCGUAGGCGGUUAUGCAAGUUGAAUGUGAAAUCUAUCGGCUCAACUGAUAGGCUGCGUUCAAAACUGUAUAUCUUGAGUGAAGUAGAGGCAGGCGGAAUUCCUAGUGUAGCGGUGAAAUGCUUAGAUAUCACGAAGAACUCCGAUUGCGAAGGCAGCUCACUAGACUGCAACUGACACUGAUGCUCGAAAGUGUGGGUAUCAAAC